AUGCCAGACAAGAAAGGCGCAACCAUGCUUGAGGACCUGCCAGGGGAGAUUAUGGACAUGAUACUCAUCCGAUUGCCCUCCAAAGACGUCGGCCGCUGUCGAGUUGUCAACACGUCAUGGCGCAGUGCCACAUCCACCCCCAAAUUCAUGCUCGAACACCACCGCCGACAGCCGUUGGUUCCCAUUGUCGAUGCGCAUGGGCGGGCUGUCAGUCAUGUCGUCUUUGGUGACGUCGGUGGUGGCACCUCCAGUCAAGAGCUCUGGCCGUUGGUCCGGGAAGGCAAUCUCAGUUUCACUCUCAAAGGCUCCUGCGAUGGCUUCUUGAUUAUCUACCAUCACACGCAACCCAGUUUCUUCAUCUGCAACCCGGUCACCCGCAAGUAUGUUAUCCUACCGCAGCCUCAAGGGCAAUUCAACUUCGUAAUUGGUUUCUACCGCCACCAUCCAACUGGAGAAUAUAGGGUGCUCUGGUUCUCUCUGUCACAUGACUCGUCUAAAUCCAGCGUAUAUGUCCUCACAGUGGGAUCUGACAAGCCAAGGCGCAUCAUAGUAAAAAUUCCAACGGUCUCAUCGCCUUCUGUGGAAAAUAGGUUAAUGAAUGAGGUGCACUUUUCAUCCGGCUUUUCACCACCAGUCCACCACCGUGGCAGCCUGCACUGGUGGCUUUCUGGUUCCAGUGACAUCACAGGAGGAUGUGCAGACACUAUUGUGUUUGACACAGAAGCCGAGUCAUUCCGGUGGAUGCGCAGUCCUGGCCAGCAUUGCCCUAAUAGCAUGCUGUUUGAUAUGAAAGGGACGCUUGCAUUCUGGGCCGGCUCGACUCCUGCUAGUUUCUCCACUAUGGAUGUCUGGGUGAUGCAAGAUUACGAGGCCCAAAUCUGGGCUUUCAAGUAUCGGAUCGAACUGUCAACGGUGGAGGCAUCACGUCAACUUUAUUUAACUUCUUACAAAAAGAAAAAGAGAACACCAAUUGAUUCAAUGGUGCAGUCGUUCAAUGAUAUGGCUGUGUUAAAUGAGCGUGAGCUACUGGUCAGGUUCAAUGGCAAACAUGUGUUGCACUGUGACGUUGAUGGCAAAUUCUUAGGUUUGGUUAAAAUUGGUAAGAAUCAGCAUUGUAUGCGGCUUGCUCAUUACCGCCUCCAGGAGAGCAUUCUUCCAAUUCCGUCCCAUGAGAUGCAUCAAGGUUAA
rnacentral:rRNA from 1 species